rnacentral:rRNA from 1 species
AGCUUGCUACUUUCCUAGCGGCGGACGGGUGAGUAAUGCUUAGGAAUCUGCCUAUUAGUGGGGGACAACAUUCCGAAAGGAAUGCUAAUACCGCAUACGCCCUACGGGGGAAAGCAGGGGAUCUUCGGACCUUGCGCUAAUAGAUGAGCCUAAGUCAGAUUAGCUAGUUGGUGGGGUAAAGGCCUACCAAGGCGACGAUCUGUAGCGGGUCUGAGAGGAUGAUCCGCCACACUGGGACUGAGACACGGCCCAGACUCCUACGGGAGGCAGCAGUGGGGAAUAUUGGACAAUGGGCGAAAGCCUGAUCCAGCCAUGCCGCGUGUGUGAAGAAGGCCUUUUGGUUGUAAAGCACUUUAAGCGAGGAGGAGGCUACUUAGAUUAAUACUCUAGGAUAGUGGACGUUACUCGCAGAAUAAGCACCGGCUAACUCUGUGCCAGCAGCCGCGGUAAUACAGAGGGUGCGAGCGUUAAUCGGAUUUACUGGGCGUAAAGCGUGCGUAGGCGGCUUUUUAAGUCGGAUGUGAAAUCCCUGAGCUUAACUUAGGAAUUGCAUUCGAUACUGGGAAGCUAGAGUAUGGGAGAGGAUGGUAGAAUUCCAGGUGUAGCGGUGAAAUGCGUAGAGAUCUGGAGGAAUACCGAUGGCGAAGGCAGCCAUCUGGCCUAAUACUGACGCUGAGGUACGAAAGCAUGGGGAGCAAACAGGAUUAGAUACCCUGGUAGUCCAUGCCGUAAACGAUGUCUACUAGCCGUUGGGGCCUUUGAGGCUUUAGUGGCGCAGCUAACGCGAUAAGUAGACCGCCUGGGGAGUACGGUCGCAAGACUAAAACUCAAAUGAAUUGACGGGGGCCCGCACAAGCGGUGGAGCAUGUGGUUUAAUUCGAUGCAACGCGAAAACCUUACCUGGUCUUGACUAGUAAGAACUUUCCAGAGAUGGAUUGGUGCCUUCGGGAACUU